ensembl:snRNA U6 U6 spliceosomal RNA
GUAUUCACUUUGGCAGCACAUAAAGUAAAAUUGGAAUGAUACAGAGAAGAUUAGCAUGUUCCCUGAGCAAGGAUGAUGUACAGAUUCGGGGAGCGUUCUUUAUUUUU